UUUGGGUACUUGGGGCAAGAGUCCUCUAGGAAGUGGGGGUAUAAGUCCGCAUGCGGUCUCGUGUUUUUAUUAGAAAAUAAGUGAUCACCGGUUAAGCCGAGCCUUAGACACUGAGUUUUUGAUACUUUUCAGAGUCUACAAAAGAAAAACGGACCGAAAAAAUUGCACAGAGGACAUGCUAAUGGUAGCAAGACAAAGAAGAGAGGAGGGUAUUUCAAACAGACAAAUUGCAAAGGAAUUGAAAAUUGACGAAUCCACUUUAAGAAAAAGGCUUAAGAAAGGAUGUGGUACGUCAAAGCUUGGACGUUUCACAUCCAUCUUUCACCGACAACAAGAAGAAGAGUUAGCAGAACAUUGCAGGCAGUUAAGUCUAAGAUUUUAUGGGCUAACGUUUAAGUCCUUGCAACGUUUGGGAUUCGAGUUUGCAGAAAGGAAUAAUCCAAACCACCACUUCAACAAGGAGAAAGGCAGAGAAGGAAUGGUCUCGAAGUUUCAUGAAAAGGCACAAUCUUACUUUGCGGAUUCCUCAGAAAACAAGCGUGGGGCGGAUAAUGGGAUUCAACGAAGUGCAAGUAAACAGAUACUUUGAUAAUCUAAUGACAAUUUUUGAAAAAUAUAAUUUCCCACCAUCAUCUAUUUUUAAUAUGGAUGAAACUGGUCUUUCUACCGUGCCAAAUCGAAUACCAAAAAUGAUUCGUACGAAAGGAAAAAGGGCUGUCGGAAAAGUUGUCUCCGCUGAACGAGGCCAGCUUGUAACUGCGGUAUGCUGCUUCAGUGCCUCAGGAAACUACAUACCACCCACUUUAAUUUUUCCUAAAAAGCGCAAAAAAGACGAACUUAUGAAUGGGGCAGCACCAGGUUCAAUGAUGAUGAUAUCUGAUUCCGGUUAUAUUAAUGGUCAGUUAUUUAUUGAAUGGCUGGCACAUUUUCAAACACAUGUAAAAUCAUCCGAAGAAUAUCCUGGUUGCAUUAAACGUCAACAAUCUAAAAUUUAUAAACAUACAAAAUUUCCCCUCAAUGAAUUUGAUAUUCCAUCUGGAAGCUUUGAACACAUCCAUACUGACUUUGUAGGCUCCCUUACGCCUUCGCUUAAUUAUUGUAAAAAUGUUUUGCAUUGUGUGUGGAUGUAGCGAAGAUGAAGUUGGAAAAUUAUUUUGUUUUCCCAAGAAUAAGGACAGACAAAAACGGCCAACCCAACCCAACCUGUGAGGGUCAUCCCGGAGAAGACGAGGACAGCGGUUUUUAGUGUAAUUAUAUUGUAAUUUAAAUAUAAAAUUUUAAAUCGCCAA